AGAAUCAACGCUGGCGGCGUGCCUAACACAUGCAAGUCGCACGAGAAAGGGACUUCGGUCCUGAGUACAGUGGCGCACGGGUGAGUAACACGUGAAUUAUCUACCUCCGAGUGGGGAAUAACUGAGAGAAAUCUUAGCUAAUACCGCAUAACACUUACGAGUCAAAGCAGCAAUGCGCUUGGAGAGGAGUUCGCGGCAGAUUAGUUAGUUGGCGGGGUAAUGGCCCACCAAGACGAUGAUCUGUAUCCGGCCUGAGAGGGCGCACGGACACACUGGAACUGAAACACGGUCCAGACUCCUACGGGAGGCAGCAGUGGGGAAUUUGCGCAAUGGGGGAAACCCUGACGCAGCAACGCCGCGUGGAGGAUGAAAUAUCUUGGUAUGUAAACUCCUUUCGAUGGGGAAGAUAAUGACGGUACCCAUAGAAGAAGCCCCGGCUAACUUCGUGCCAGCAGCCGCGGUAA
rnacentral:rRNA from 1 species